rnacentral:rRNA from 1 species
GUGGGGAAUUUUGGACAAUGGGCGCAAGCCUGAUCCAGCAAUGCCGCGUGCAGGAAGAAGGCCUUCGGGUUGUAAACUGCUUUUGUACGGAACGAAACGGUCCGGGUUAAUACCCUGGGCUAAUGACGGUACCGUAAGAAUAAGCACCGGCUAACUACGUGCCAGCAGCCGCGGUAAUACGUAGGGUGCAAGCGUUAAUCGGAAUUACUGGGCGUAAAGCGUGCGCAGGCGGUUUUGUAAGACAGGCGUGAAAUCCCCGGGCUCAACCUGGGAAUUGCGCUUGUGACUGCAAGGCUGGAGGGCGGCAGAGGGGGAUGGAAUUCCGCGUGUAGCAGUGAAAUGCGUAGAUAUGCGGAGGAACACCGAUGGCGAAGGCAAUCCCCUGGGCCUGCACUGACGCUCAUGCACGAAAGCGUGGGGAGCAAACAGGAUUAGAAACCCUUGUAGUCC